AGUUCAAGAGUACGUGAAACUGUGUGGCAGUAAACGGAGCCUUCCUCGAAGUCAACCGAUCGGACCCAUCCUAACGGCACGGCGCAGCCCUCGCUCUGGGAUCAGCGAUGACCUUUUGCGGGGAGCCUUGCGUCGCUCGGCGGGUGCAUCUCUGAUCGGUGUCACGGUAGGAACUGUUGGCGUCCGGACCUAAGGCUCGGGACGAAGCUUUCCCCUCGGGGUCAGCUCCCGGUGUCCUGGCUCUGGACCCGACAGGCAGCCACGGCGCGCCUCGUACAGCGAGCAACGCUUCUGUUGCGGGCGCCCSUUCCCUACCGAGUAGGUCGGGUAGGCUCUGACCCGUCUUGAAACACGG
rnacentral:rRNA from 1 species